UACAGAGGGGGCAAGCGUUGUUCGGAAUUACUGGGCGUAAAGGGCGCGUAGGCGGCCGCCUAAGUCAGACGUGAAAUCCCUCGGCUCAACCGGGGAACUGCGUCUGAUACUGGGUGGCUUGGAAUUCGGGAGAGGGAUGCGGAAUUCCAGGUGUAGCGGUGAAAUGCGCAGAUAUCAGGAGGAACACCGGUGGCGAAGGCGGCUCACUGGCCCGGUACUGACGCUGAGGUGCGAAAGCGUGGGGAGC
rnacentral:rRNA from 1 species